UCCCUGGUGGCUCAGAGGUUAAAGCGUUCUGCCUGGGAUGCAGGAGACCUGGGUUCGAUCCCUUGGUCGGGAA
rnacentral:tRNA from 1 species